rnacentral:siRNA from 1 species
UAACGCAAUGUGAUUUCUGCCCA